UACGUAGGGGGCAAGCGUUGUCCGGAAUUAUUGGGCGUAAAGAGUUCGUAGGCGGUUAUUUAAGUCUGGUGUUAAAGACGGGAGCUCAACUCCCGCAUGGCAUUGGAAACUGGAUAGCUAGAGUACGGUAGAGGUCUCGGGAAUUCCAGGUGUAGCGGUGAAAUGCGUAGAUAUCUGGAGGAACACCGGUGGCGAAAGCGCGAGACUGGGCCGUAACUGACGCUGAGGAACGAAAGCCAGGGUAGCCAAAGGG
rnacentral:rRNA from 1 species